UUGGAGGGCAAGUCUGGUGCCAGCAGCCGCGGUAAUUCCAGCUCCAAUAGCGUAUAUUAAAGUUGUUGCAGUUAAAAAGCUCGUAGUUGAAUUUCGGGGUUCUACCGUUGGUCGGGCUUUGUCUGUACUGGUGUGUAGAAUUUCUACCUUCUGGGGAACCAUCAUGCUAUUAAUUUAGCGUGGUGGGAAACCAGGACCUUUACCUUGAAAAAAUUAGUGUGUUCAAAGCAGGCUUAUGUCUGAAUACAUUAGUGUGGAAUAAUAGAAUAGGACGGUGGUCCUGUUUUGUUGGUUUCUGAAUCACCGUAAUGAUUAAUAGGGAUAGUUGGGGGCAUUAGUAUUCAAUUGUCAGAGGUGAAAUUCUUGGAUUUAUUGAAGACUAACUUCUGCGAAAGCAUUUGCCAAGGAUGUUUUCAUUAAUCAAGAACGAAAGUUAGGGGAUCGAAGACGAUCAGAUACCGUCGUAGUCUUAACCAUAAACUAUGCCGACUAGGGAUCGGACGAUGUUAAUUUUUCUUGACUCGUUCGGCGCCUUACGGGAAAC
rnacentral:rRNA from 1 species